rnacentral:rRNA from 1 species
CAGUCGCCGCGGGAAAACGAAGGGGGCUAGCGUUGUUCGGAAUUACCGGGCGUAAAGCGCACGUAGGCGGAUAUUUAAGUCAGGGGUGAAAUCCCGCAGCUCAACUGCGGAACUGCCUUUGAUACUGGGUAUCUUGAGUAUGGAAGAGGUUAGUGGAAUUGCGAGUGUAGAGGUGAAAUUCGUAGAUAUUCGCAGGAACACCAGUGGCGAAGGCGGCUAACUGGUCCAUAACUGACGCUGAGGUGCGAAAGCGUGGGGAGCAAACAGGAUUAGAUACCCCUGUAGUCCCUGUCUCUUAUAC